UACGGAGGGUGCAAGCGUUUAAUCGGAAUUACUGGGCGUAAAGCGUGCGCAGGCGGUUUGUUAAGUCCGUUGUGAAAGCCCCGAGCUCAACUUGGGAAUUGCAGUGGAUACUGGCAGGCUGGAGUACGGUAGAGGAAGGUGGAAUUCCCGGUGUAGCAGUGAAAUGUGUAGAUAUCGGGAGGAACACCGGUGGCGAAGGCGGCGACCUGGUCCUUGACUGACGCUGAGGCGCGAAAGCGUGGGGAGCAAACAGG
rnacentral:rRNA from 1 species